rnacentral:rRNA from 1 species
GAUGAACGCUAGCGAUAGGCUUAACACAUGCAAGUCGAGGGGCAGCACAAGGUAGCUUGCUAUCUGGGUGGCGACCGGCGCACGGGUGCGUAACGCGUAUGCAACUUGCCCUAUACAGGAGGAUAACCCGUCGAAAGACGGACUAAUACUGCGUAUGCUCACAACUUGGCAUCAAGUGGUGAGGAAAGAAAUUCGGUAUAGGAUAGGCAUGCGUCCCAUUAGCUUGUUGGUGAGGUAACGGCUCACCAAGGCAACGAUGGGUAGGGGAACUGAGAGGUUUAUCCCCCACACUGGUACUGAGACACGGACCAGACUCCUACGGGAGGCAGCAGUGAGGAAUAUUGGUAAAUGGGCGCGAGCCUGAACCAGCCAAGUCGCGUGAAGGAUGACUGUCUUAUGGAUUGUAAACUUCUUUUAGACGGGAAUAACAAGAGUCACGUGUGACUCCCUGCAUGUACCGUAUGAAUAAGCAUCGGCUAACUCCGUG